GACAAACCGUGCGAACGUUAUUCGGAAUCACUGGGCUUAAAGCGCGUGUAGGCGGGACGGCACGUCGGUCGCUGAAAGCCCCCGGCUCAACCGGGGAACGGGCGCCGAUACGACCGUCCUGGAGGGACGUAGGGGGACCUGGAACAUCCGGUGGAGCGGUGAAAUGCGUUGAGAUCGGAUGGAACGCCCGUGGCGAAAGCGAGGUCCUGGACGUUUUCUGACGCUGAGACGCGAAAGCCAGGGGAGCGAACGGG
rnacentral:rRNA from 1 species